AUGCAGACCUUUGCCAUGCUGGAACAACAGUGUAUUUUACUUACAGAAAUGUCACCAAGUCAGCUGGAAAAACAGCUUAACACAGUUCUUCCAAAAUACCAAGCAUACCCUCAAACCCAAGCUUGUAUUACGUUUAGCUACAACAGAAAAAUUAAGAAAUGGUUUUGUUUUCAAUCCCCACUUUUGUCUGGAGUGCUGCGCUUGUACCGCAUGAAGGCAAACACAGGAUCAAAACACGGAGCUACAGUGACAGCAACAACACCCACUGAAAUACUUCUGAGUGGGCAAACUGCCUGCAAGUUUGUGUCCCCUCCACACCUAUGCAAACCUACUCAGAAAGCCUGCAAAGCCUGAAUUUUCAGACACAGAUCACACAUCACUCAAGGUCAGAAUUAGA
rnacentral:lncRNA from 13 species